AGCACCACAACAGGUGGAGCCUGCGGUUUAAUCGGACUCAACGCCGGGAAACUCACCAGAUAAGACAGCUGAAUGAUAGUCGGGCUGAAGACUCUACUUGACUAGCUGAGAGGAGGUGCAUGGCCGUCGUCAGUUCGUACUGUGAAGCAUCCUGUUAAGUCAGGCAACGAGCGAGACCCACGCCAACAGUUGCCAGCUCGUCCUCCGGGAUGGUGGGGACACUGUUGGGACCGCCUCUGCUAAAGAGGAGGAAGGAAUGGGCAACGGUAGGUCAGCAUGCCCCGAAUUAUCUGGGCUACACGCGGGCUACAAUGGGUGGGACAAUGGGUAUCGACACCGAAAGGUGAAGGCAAUCUCCUAAACCCAUCCGUAGUCCGGAUUGUGGGCUGCAACUCGCCCACAUGAAGCUGGAAUCUGUAGUAAUCGUGUCUCAAAAUGGCACGGUGAAUAUGUCCCUGCUCCUU
rnacentral:rRNA from 1 species